UUGCUCAGGCAGCACAUAUAAUAAAUUGGAAUCAUUACAGAGGAGAUUAGCAUGGCCCCUGCGAAAGGGUUAAGCAGGAGACGUUCUGUUUUCCA
rnacentral:snRNA from 1 species